AUGGGAUCGGUAGAUAUAGAUAUAGUGGGGUGGUGUUGCAUAUGCAGAUGGUGUGCAGUGAAGGUGUUGAUUUUUUCGUCUUCUUGACCCUUUAAAUGGCUAUGACUGGCUGGGGAGUGGAGUGCAGUGGGGAACACCCUUUACAUUUGAGUGUAAAAUAAAAAGCGAAGUCGGAAGUUGACGUGGUAUAGUGUGAUUGGCUGGGUGUAGGGGUGUAAACAUGAUGAGCCGAGCUCGAGCCUAGUCGGGCUUAGGCUCGGCUCGUUUACACCCCUAGUUCGAUGGAGAGGCUACCACUCUAAAUGAGGAGAGCACCCCUUACACUCUAAUAUUGGCCGCUAAGGAUGUAAAUGAAUCGAACGUUCAGCGAACAGUUCGGUGGGAAGUUCGUUUACAUUCAUUCGUUUAAUAAAAGAACGAACAUGAACAAGAAAUUAUGUAUGAUAAGUUAAAUGAACGAACAUGAACAAAGCUCUCGUUCGUUCGAUUGUGUUUAUGAACGUUCGGUAAUGUGUUCAUGAACGUCCAUUCAUUUAUGAUCAUUCAUUUUCCUUUGUUUAUGUUGUUCAUAAAUGAUUUUUUUUUACAUUUAUAUCAUUUAAUUUAUUAC
rnacentral:lncRNA from 1 species